rnacentral:lncRNA from 1 species
AGCAGGAAAAAAAUGGUAGCGCUGAUUUUGAGUAAGGGAACCCCACCCUAGAUUACCAAUCAAUGCAGAUGGAUUGAGACCGUACCGAUCGAAGGCAGUGGGAUCGAUAUGUGAGGUGGGGAGAAUAGGACGAUUAGCAAAGAACUCAAGAUAGAUGGCUUGAUGAUCACAGCUGCGCAUGUGAUCAUUGACAAAGAAAACAUGACUCCGAGCGAGAGCAAC